rnacentral:rRNA from 1 species
GACCGUGAAACCGCUCAGAGUAUAAGCCAAUGGAGCUUGGAAGGCUUCCGCAGUCCCGGGCAUCACACGUGGUGUUCGACAGACCAGGGCGAUGGUUCGUCAGGAGCAGCAUUCAGUUUGCCAAGCAUCCCCCGKGCGGGGAGGUCGUCUCGGGGUCCGACGCUUCGGCUGAGGAUUGCCCCGGGACGCCUUCUUAAGAAUGGACGUUCAUAGCUUCUGGUCUAAUGCGGUAUUUGCCCACCACGGCACGUUGUGAGGUCACCCACAGGCUCAAACUGCCGAGCGUGAAUCCAGGACGAUGGCAACGAUGCGUUUUUGGUGUGUGUGUGCGAGAGCUGCGAACACACGACGCGUGUCUAGUCCUGGGUCAGGCGGCGACCGAGACAAACCUGGUAUGAUCCUCUUGCGACGAGCUGCUUUCUGGCCAGUCCGACGCCCAGGCGCUUCCACUGUGCCGGAAGUGUCAACCCCAGGCGGUCUGUUCCCUGCUGCGUUUUGCAAGGUCUCUCACAGCCGGGCGUUGGACUGAGUGGUGUUCAAUCCAGCACCAUCGGUCACGUCUCGAAACACGGGCCAAGGG